rnacentral:rRNA from 1 species
GUGGCAGUAAAGGCUUCAGUACGACCCAGUCAGAACUAUAAGUCUCAAAGCCCCGACGAGUAGGGUGGCGUGCCGGUGCGCGUUGAAGGCCAAGACGUGAGUCAGGCUGGAGCCGCCGGUAGUGCAGAUCUUGGUGGUAGUAGCAAGUACUCUGGUGAACCAACCUGGAGCUGUGAGGUCUGGAUCAGGGUUCCAUGUCAACAGUGAUUGAACAUGGGUGAGUCGAUCCUAAGCCAACUGUGAAAGCAGUGACAUCCCGACAAAGGGGCCGAAUACGUGCGCCGUACUUACACCCCCACAGCAAAGUUCUCUCACACUCUCUCUGUCUGACGACAAGGUGACGGCAAAAGAAAUGCGCACACACGGUGAUCACUACAAAUACGUGUGAGUGUGUGCGCUUGUUUGGUUACGCUCAAAAGCGUUGAUGGGGCUCUGCAAUGCGAGAGAGGUAGAGAGAGCGUGGGUGCGCGUGAGUUACCUGCACGAGCCUUCUGAGUUGGUUCUAUGUCUGGCGAAAGGGAAUGGGGACUUUGUUCCUUGACCGGUCCCGGCACCCUCGAUAGGCUUUGCCAUUCAAUGGUCCAUGCAAAUGGAACCAGGCCACAGCCGCCGGCAGUCGCCCGAGGAAGAGUUUUCUUUUCUGCUUAACGCACGAGGUCAUCCCUGGAAACAGUUCGGCUGGCGAAAGGGUGCCCCGUUGCGGCAGAGCGCCACGACUGUCGUGCGCGUCUCGGUGUUCCUGCCGGUCCGUGAAGACGUGGUCGAGGGGAUUGCUCUUGUAUCAACGAAACGCCCGACAAGUUCGGGACGGACCGUACCCUAUAUCCGCAUCUGGUCUCCAAGGUUCGUAGCCUCUGCAGAGUCAGACACAUGUAGGUAAGGGAAGUCGGCAAACUCGAUCCGUAACUUCGGGAAAAGGAUUGGCUCUGAGGGCCGAGCUGGGCCGGGCCUUGCCUGCAAAGCAGUACCUAUAGUGACCGGAGUUUCAGGAGUGCGAGGGGCUCUAGUAGCUGCUUGUGCGUGUGUGCGUUCGCGCGUGCGCGCGUGUGGGCACGAACGAGUCCACCGCUCCGCUCCAACCACGAACGGCUGUGACGGCAAGGGCUCUGGGCGGGAGCGAUCAAACCGUUGGCCCCCAGCUCGUCUGGGUGGCGGCGGUGCUCCGUCUGACCCAUACGGCUCCAGCGGCUAGCGGCUAACUCAGAACUGUCAUGGACCAAGGGAAUCCGACUGUCUAAUUAAAACAAAGCGUCGUGACGGCCCCUAUUGGGUGUUGACGCGACGUGAUUUCUGCCCAGUGCUC